CUGCGGAAGGAUCAUUACCGAGUUCAUGCCCUUACGGGUAGAUCUCCCACCCUUUGUAUACUAUACCUUUGUUGCUUUGGCGGGCCGCCUAGCUACUGGCUUCGGCUGGUAAGUGCCCGCCAGAGGACCCAAAACCCUGAAUUAUUAGUGUCGUCUGAGUAAAAAGUUAAUAUUUAAAACUUUCAACAACGGAUCUCUUGGCUCUGGCAUCGAUGAAGAACGCAGCGAAAUGCGAUAAGUAAUGUGAAUUGCAGAAUUCAGUGAAUCAUCGAAUCUUUGAACGCACAUUGCGCCCCUUGGUAUUCCGAGGGGCAUGCCUAUUCGAGCGUCAUUAUCACCCCUCAAGCCUAGCUUGGUGUUGGGGCUUGCUGUAAAGGCAGCCUCUAAAAUCAGUGGCAGUGCUGUUAGGCUCUAAGCGUAGUAAAUUCAUCGCUAUAGAGUCCUGGUGGAUACUCGUCAAAACCCCCCCAUUUUUAAUGAUUGACCUCGGAUUAGGUAGGGAUACCCGCUGAACUUAAGCAUAUCAAUAA
rnacentral:rRNA from 1 species